rnacentral:rRNA from 1 species
UACGGGGGGGAGCAAGCGUUGUUCGGAUUUACUGGGCGUAAAGGGCGCGUAGGCGGCGUAACAAGUCACUUGUGAAAUCUCCGGGCUUAACCCGGAGCGGUCAAGUGAUACUGUCGUGCUAGAGUGCGGAAGGGGCUACUGGAAUUCUCGGUGUAGCGGUGAAAUGCGUAGAUAUCGAGAGGAACACCUGCGGCGAAGGCGGGUAGCUGGGCCGACACUGACGCUGAUGCGCGAAAGCCAGGGGAGCGAACGGG